rnacentral:lncRNA from 1 species
UAGGCAGAGGGAGAAGCAGGCUCCCUGCAGGGAGCCCCAGGCAGGACUCGAUCCCAGGACCCCAGGAUCAUGCCCUGAGACAAAGGCAGAUGUUCAACCACUGAGCCACCCACGAGCCCCCCCUUUCUCUUUUGUUUCCCCCAUUCUACCUUCUCAUCCCUCUGAGGUCCCUGCUCACAGCUCAUCCCCCAACCAGAAGCCCCUUUCCCGGGGGCUCCACCCAUGCUGUCCAUGCUGCACAACUUCAGUUCUCCCUACACCUGUGAUUUUUUAUCUUUUUCAGUCGCAUUUCCCCUGCCCUGGGCUCCGGGCUCCGCGGCCUGCUGAUGUGUGCAGCCUCCCUCUUGCCGCGUUCUCUCUGCACCUCCUCACAUGGGCCCGCAGCAAGCUCAGUGGGCCGGGCCAGUGGCUGCUCACACCAGGGCAGGAGAGCAGAGGAGAGCGCCCCAACCCCUGUCCAGUGCCAAGCAGGAGCUCACCUGUCGCCAGGGCGGCCAGAGAGCAUACAGGGGGGUGAGGACCACACUCAGCCAGAAAAAGGGCACGUUGCCCCCGGACCCAGGAGAGAAGGCCAGUGGGUGGCCAGGAAAAACCUGGAAAACCAGAAGAGGGAGCCUUCAAAGAUGACACCAAGGCUAAGGAAAAAUGAUCAGAGAUCAGGAUGGUGAGUUAAGGGCUGGAGGCAGAGCCAGAAACCACCACCGGCCCAAGCAAGAGGGAGCACAGGCAAGGUGAGAGAGACAGGGGAGAAAGGUCCGGCAUUUACUUCUGGGCCUUGCGACCUGAAUGGCAAGCAAGUGAUGCCACUGAAAGAAGGGUGUGCGUCAGGGACGCCCCGGUGGGUCAGCGGUUAAGCGUCUGCCGUCAGCCCAGGGCAGGAUCCUGGAGACCCGGGAUCGAGUCCCGCAUCGGGUUUCCUGCAUGGAGCCUGCUUCUAUGUCUCUGCCUCUCUCUGUGUCUCUCAAUAAAUAAAUUAAAAAAAAAAAAAAAAAAAGGAGGGUGUGAGUCAGCAGCGGGGUGGGGCUGGGGCCUGCUGGUGGUGGCACAGAGCAAUCUGGUCAACACUCAGCAGUCCCAGGAGGACACCAGGCCUGGGGAGAACCUGUCCUGCCUGCAACAAAGUGGUGCCAGGUGACACUGGGUGGCCCCACUUCCAUCCCUGGACCUGGGAUCCCCCACCCGUCUCUCCGUGCCCCUGGUACGCCUAGGUCCGCUGCUGGGACCACAUCUCCCUUCUGUCCCUCGCUCUCGUCUUCUCCCCUUGAUGCUCCCUAGACCAGGGCUUGAAUCUGUUCCUGUUCCCUCCUGGUGGAAAGAGGGCCUGGACUCCAGUAUGCUCUGAUCCUUGGUUCCCAGGAGCCCCCACCCCCCAGGGAAGCCCAGUGUGCUGGAGGGGCAGCGGUCCCAGCCAGGCGGGUCAGAGGGGUGGGCACAGGUGGAGGCUCACUCAGGCUGCCCUGCCCAGGUCAGGGAUGCCCAGUUGCCUUUCUCUCCGGAACCAGGGUCCUUGGAAUGCCUCUGAAGAUGCCGGGUCCAUUUCUGUCCACCCACCCGC